rnacentral:rRNA from 1 species
UACGUAGGGUGCAAGCGUUGUCCGGAAUUAUUGGGCGUAAAGAGCUCGUAGGCGGUUUGUUGCGUCGGCUGUGAAAUCCCGAGGCUCAACCUCGGGUCUGCAGUCGAUACGAGCAAACUAGAGUGUUGCAGGGGAGACUGGAAUUCCUGGUGUAGCGGUGAAAUGCGCAGAUAUCAGGAGGAACACCGAUGCGAAGGCAGGUCUCUGGGCAUUAACUGACGCUGAGGAGCGAAAGCAUGGGGAGCGAACAGG